rnacentral:rRNA from 1 species
AUGAGGAGCAAAAUCAGUGUUGCCCUUCGAGCUUUAGACAGUAUCUUGGACAUCGUGCCGCCAUCCUUGAAGGCGCUUGCGGAUGCCUGCCAUCAAAAGGGAGGGAAAACAAUAUUUGAUCUGGGUGAGGAGCCUGGUGAUACAAAGGUUUUGAAGUUGCAGUGCUCUCCUGAUGCUAGUAACCUUUCCCACGGAAAGAAGCCGGUCCAUACAAAUGACAUAUCUUACAAGUUGCAGCAGGGGGGAAACAACCCCAACAACCGUCAGCGGAGUAAGCAUAGCCAAGCACUAAGCAAGGAAGCUAGCCGCGAUGAACGAGCGGUGGUUCCGGAUCGCCGCCGACUGGGACGGCCCAGAGGCCCUCGGUAUGUGAUGGUUUUCUUGUGCUUGCUCUUUGCUGCCUACGUAUGGACAACAGUCAAGUGGUAA